CACGUAGGGCGCAAGCGUUGUCCGGAAUUAUUGGGCGUAAAGAGCUCGUAGGCGGUCUGUUACGUCUGCUGUGAAAACCCGGGGCUUAACCCUGGGCUUGCAGUGGAUACGGGCAGACUAGAGGCAGGUAGGGGAGAAUGGAAUUCCCGGUGUAGCGGUGAAAUGCGCAGAUAUCGGGAGGAACACCGGUGGCGAAGGCGGAUCUCUGGGCCUUACCUGACGCUCAGGCGCGAAAGCUAGGGGAGCGAACAGG
rnacentral:rRNA from 1 species